rnacentral:misc_RNA from 1 species
GAUGAAGAACGUAGCGAAAUGCGAUAAGUAAUGUGAAUUGCAGAAUUCAGUGAAUCAUCGAAUCUUUGAACGCACAUUGCGCCCCCUGGUAUUCCGGGGGGCAUGCCUGUCCGAGCGUCAUUACAACCCUCAAGCUCAGCUUGGUGUUGGGCCCCGCCGCCCCGGCGGGCCCUAAAGUCAGUGGCGGUGCCGUCCGGCUCCGAGCGUAGUAAUUCUCUCGCUCUGGAGGUCCGGUCGUGUGCUCGCCAGCAACCCCCAAUUUUUUUCAGGUUGACCUCGGAUCAGGUAGGGAUACCCGCUGAACUUAAGUAUAUCAAUAAGCGGAGGA